rnacentral:rRNA from 1 species
GAUGAACGCUGGCGGCGUGCUUAACACAUGCAAGUCGAACGUGAUCCCGCAGCAAUGUGGGUGAAAGUGGCAAACGGGUGAGGAACACGUAGAUAACCUGCCUCGCAGUGGGGGAUAACC